rnacentral:misc_RNA from 1 species
GUCUUCAAGUUUUUAUUUCGCAUAGCACAUAUAUAAAGAAAACGCUUCGUUCAAACUCGUCUGUGAACUCCAUAAAACUUAUUAAAAAAUCCGUCCAAAAAAAUAUAUAGUAUAGUUUGGAUCGCAUGAAAACAUAUCUAAACAUAAGUCUUUGUUAGGGGUCGGAUUGGGCCCUUCUCAAGUAGUUCAUCAGCUCGCUCCUCUUCGUCAAGCUCUUCAGCUCUUCAAACUCCUCGGCUCGUCCUCAAGCUCCUCAGCUCGUCUUCAAGCUCUUCCCAUCACAGCGACCAUGUCCUCGCCGCCUAGCUGUCAGCUAGUCAGCUCGUCCAACUCCUCGUCUAGCUAUAGCUCAUCCCUCGUCAACUACCUGCCGACCUACCUCCAAUGACGGCCUAGCUCACUUAUUCUAAUAUGAACUACGUGUGGCUUGAUCCCUUUCUAAGGGUACGUAGGCAACCUUUUACAAGGUUCAGCUAUAAAACGAAUAAACUCUAUUCUUCCUCGGACAUUAAGUUCGUCUUCCGGCCUCAAGCUCGCCUUUCAUCUACAAUCAGCUCGUUCUUACUCCAUCAAUGCUCGUUGAAGAAAUCAUCCUUUGAAAUCCGUCCAAUUCGCCUAAGUCGCAGGCUCGUCUUUAAUAGAAAGAUUCUUCCUUCCCUAGAGAUCCCAUUUUCGUACUUGUGUGAUUCGUGCAUCAACAGUUGGCGCGCCAGGUAGGGGGAUAGCUCGAAGAUAUCUCUCAAAACUACGACCCCGCGACGAAGCAAAGUGACAACAAACAGACUACAUGGAGCAUUCGAUACCGACUCGUCAGGCUCUGGAAGUAAAACGACAACGUCGAUCCCCGGGAGAGCCAGUCACUCGACCUCUUCAUUCGAUAUCGCAGCAUGUUCGACAAGAAAAGGACUUCAAGGAACUAUCGACCCCAUCAUCCUAGGCGAUGACACUUCCAGCCCGGCAGUCAGGACAAUAACACUGACCAACGAGGAAGUGCCGCUGAUUAAAGAGGAACAUCCCAUAACCUCAUUAAACAUACCGACCUCGUUAUCACUCACGCCUAACCAAGAACAAGAGGAGAAGUCAUCAGGCGGACGUCACUUGGAGAACCUCGACGAUGACACUACCAGCUCGGCAGCUCGGACGAUAACGUCAGCGCACGGGAAAACUCAAAUAAAGGAAGAAUACUACUCGGCGUCAUCUAUUGUACCGACCUCGUUAUCGCCCACGCCUGAAUACCUAGCGUUGCAAAAAGACCAAGGAGAAGCUUCACUUAGCCGAUUUCAUCGCCUGGACGAUACGGCUAAAGCCAACCAACGCGGCGAAGAACUACUCAACAUCAUCAUCGAUCAUUUAAAGCAGCGCGACGCGAUUAUUAACCGCCGCCCAAGAGCACAUACAAGAUAAAAUUAGCCGCAUGCACAUGAGUCGUUAUUCGCAUACCCAACCUACGCGAAGAAAUUCAGGUUGUCUUAAACCAACCCAGCUCGGCAAUUCCUCAGACCGCUAUAAACGAGAUACCAAGUGCAAGACCUUCACUCCCAAAUCAAUUGAGCCAUCUCCAGGGUCCAUCAGGUCGGAUGCGCCAUAAGAGAUAUCGAUGAUCCGACAUCGACGAUCCGACACUGACGCCAAUGUUUAGCGAAUACCGCAAAGCAAUGACCACACCAAAACGACUAACAAAACACAUCAUGUCGGCAGGCUACGAGAAGCUAAACGAAAGAACCAGACGGCUCUGGACGUACACAAUGACGCAACCAACCAAACGCCAUUUGCGCCAUCUUGCAGAGUGAAAGUAACAGCACCCGCUGGAGCUAGGCGAACUGAAGAAAAGCCAAACUCUCCACAACAGCAAAAUUCACAUCGUCACUCAAAACGUCGGAGAUCUCGUUCCAACGCCAUCCCACUAAAACGAAGAAAACGAUGCCGCUUAGCAUAACGUCACGUCGGACGAACGAACUGACAAGAACUAGGGCAGACAUUGAGCAUCGUCUUUUCGAUAAUUGUAUCAACGAACUCGACCGUCAAAACUCGAUCGUACCACAAACUCUUGCGUUGAGAUAAGUAAAAUUUUCGUUUUUGUCGUAAUUCAAUUCGUCAGUAUUCUUAAAAAGGGUUCCGCUGGACCUCGUAGCGAUCGAGCUAAUUUACAUCGGUGUCCUGGCCCGGCAUUCGAUCGAUAAACGAACGCACGAACCCCUUAAGUAUGCCAUGUAUCGGUAAAACGGUCUUGGAUAAAACCUACACUUAAGGGAGUGCUAAGCC